UUUAGUUUAAUUCCAUUGUGGUCAGAGAAUAUACUUGUUAUGUUGUUUUCACAUGAUAGUGAGCUAGUUUUCAUGAGAUCUGGUUGUUUGAAAGUGUGUGGCACUUCCCCCUUCAUUAUCUCUCUUUUCAGCUCCACAAUGGUGGGAUGUGCUUGCUGGCUUCUCCUUCACCUUCUGCCAUGAUUGUCAGUUUCCUGAGGUCUCCCAACCAUGCUUCUGUACAGCGUGUAGAACUUUUGAUGAUUCCCUCCCUGGAGAUCUUCACCUGCAGUUCCUGGCAUGAGUGAUGCCACUUCCACACAGUCAAUUUAAUCCCUUCAUAUCUCUUCUGCAUCUGUGACACAACUUUAUCUUCUUGUUGCUGAGGCUGCCUCACCCUUGGUAGAAGCUUUUGGUGGCACUUAUGACCAGCUAAUCAACUUGACUAUCAGGCAGCACCAUUCCACAGAAUUGUAUGUGAUCUAUGGAAAAUCGACCCGUCUGCCCUGCUUUCAAUGAACUUGUAACUUACUACUGACAAGAGGCUUCUUGUUCUUCUAUAGGCAGCUGUUUUGGUAUCAGGAUGAUGCUGGCUUCUUCGUGACCUGCUAAGAAGUAUCAAGCCCAGAAAUCUUCACAGAAGGUAUCAUUCAAACCUCCAAAGAACAAAUAAUCUCAAUGCUAUUUCAACUGUUUCAAUGUAUAAAGAAGGAAAGUUUCCAAAUAUUCUCUAUGAUGCCAGAAAGCAAUUAUUCCAAAAUGUGAUAAAUAUAGUACAGAAAAAGAAAAUUAUUAAUAAAUAUAAUUUGUGAAUAUCAAUGCAAAACCCUAAAGAAAUUAGGUAAUAGCAUCUAUUAGUAAUUUCAAAUAAUAAUAUAUACUAAGUAAAGGUCCUGUCAGGAAUGAACUAAUGGUUCAAUAUUAAGAAACAUAUUGAUUUAAUUUAUAUAUUUAAUAGGCUAAAUGAUUAAAAAGGUAGCAUUUUCAUAGAUGGUGAAAAGGCAUUCAAUAAAACUCAAUAUUCAUUCCCAAGGAAAGAUAAACAAACAACAGCAAGAACAAAUUUCUUUAAUUCCCUUUUCAGCAAGGUAAGUUAAUAACUCACCCAAGGUCAUACAACCAGUAAAGAUAGGUCCUGAAUUUGAACCUAGAUAGAUUUUGUGCAGAGAUAAUUUAAUCCUGUAUACCUACAAACAAACACCAGUGCUUCUCAACCUUCUUCAUGUUGUGGUACACAUAGAAAAUGAAAAUAUUUUUACGGCAUGCUGGGAAAUCAAUCAAGGUCACAUGUAGAGGAAAUCGCUUAAGGCCCGGGUUACCUGAGGACCAGCUUAGCUGCCCCAGGGGCUGAGGGGAUCAAUAUUUUGGCACAUUUUAACUUGCGGAGGUUUGCCUACUGUAUACUGCCACUAGAAGAAAACACAGCCUACAUCUAGAAUCAAAAUAAUAUGGGAAUCUGAUAUGUAACAAAGAUGAUAUUUUAAAUCAGUAUGUAAAAAUAGGUUACAGCUGACUUUCCAUUU